rnacentral:rRNA from 1 species
GAUGAACGCUGGCGGCGUGCCUAAUACAUGCAAGUCGAACGCACAGCGAAAGGUGCUUGCACCUUUCAAGUGAGUGGCGAACGGGUGAGUAACACGUGGACAACCUGCCUCAAGGCUGGGGAUAACAUUUGGAAACAGAUGCUAAUACCGAAUAAAACUCAGUGUCGCAUGACACAAAGUUAAAAGGCGCUUUGGCGUCACCUAGAGAUGGAUCCGCGGUGUAUUAGUUAGUUGGUGGGGUAAAGGCCUACCAAGACAAUGAUGCAUAGCCGAGUUGAGAGACUGAUCGGCCCCAUUGGGACUGAGACACGGCCCAAACUCCUACGGGAGGCUGCAGUAGGGAAUCUUCCACAAUGGGCGAAAGCCUGAUGGAGCAACGCCGCGUGUGUGAUGAAGGCUUUCGGGUCGUAAAGCACUGUUGUAUGGGAAGAACAGCUAGAAUAGGGAAUGAUUUUAGUUUGACGGUACCAUACCAGAAAGGGACGGCUAAAUACGUGCCAGCAGCCGCAGUAA